UUUAGUGAUUUUCAUUUGCAAAUUCUGAAAGGUUAUGUGUAUUGAAGGUUUAAAAAAUCAGGUGGAGAUCCAAAAUGGGAUAAAAAGUAUAUGCAUAAUGCAGCUACAGGAUGGUUAAAGUGUGCUCAGUUAUGGUUUGUUCCUGAUCAGACUACAAAGUAUGUUCAGGCUUCUGCAGCAUCACCUGCUUAUGUGCUUUUUGUUGUACCAAUAAAUAUCAGUUUGGAUGAAUAAAAAAAAAAAAGAUUUUUCGGAAUAUUGAUACUGAUGAAAUUUUAAUGGCGAUUGGUAGAGGGAAAAGUCAUGUUGGAUAGAUGGUUGUGAAUCCUUCUGCAAUGGUGAGAUCCACUGCAGAAAAUGUUGAUGUUGGUAUAAAAAAAAUGAGAAAGUGACUAGAAAGUCUGUGGAUGUUGGUGCAGGGAAUAAGCAAGUUGAUAGUGUUUUAGUGGUGGAUGAGGGUUAUAAGAGUCAUGGUGUACUAGUUCCCAGUCAUGUGUCUGCUUCUGCCUAUCCUUUUGUAGUUGCUGGUGAGACUGUUAUAAUUAAGCCUCCCUAUGGAUCACAUUUGGUGUCUCUUAGGACUCAGUGUCCUGAUCCGUUUAAGCUUCCAGAAGGCGCUAUUAAUUAUUUAAAAAGGGUAACAAUGGAUCAACAAUUU